rnacentral:rRNA from 1 species
CCCAACCCCUGUGAACAUACCACUUGUUGCCUCGGCGGAUCAGCCCGCUCCCGGUAAAACGGGACGGCCCGCCAGAGGACCCCUAAACUCUGUUUCUAUAUGUAACUUCUGAGUAAAACCAUAAAUAAAUCAAAACUUUCAACAACGGAUCUCUUGGUUCUGGCAUCGAUGAAGAACGCAGCAAAAUGCGAUAAGUAAUGUGAAUUGCAGAAUUCAGUGAAUCAUCGAAUCUUUGAACGCACAUUGCGCCCGCCAGUAUUCUGGCGGGCAUGCCUGUUCGAGCGUCAUUUCAACCCUCAAGCACAGCUUGGUGUUGGGACUCGCGUUAAUUCGCGUUCCUCAAAUUGAUUGGCGGUCACGUCGAGCUUCCAUAGCGUAGUAGUAAAACCCUCGUUACUGGUAAUCGUCGCGGCCACGCCGUUAAACCCCAACUUCUGAAUGUUGACCUCGGAUCAGGUAGGAAUACCCGCUGAACUUAAGCAUAUCAAUAAGGCGGAGGAA